AUAAAAUUAAGUUAAAGUAUUGAAUUAAAGAUUUAUGUUUAGUAAAAAUUUUAUAUGUUAAAGUAAUGGGUAUAGGAAUAUUUUUGAAAAUGUGUACUGAGAAGGGUGUUAUUAAUUUAUUUUUAGUAAAAUUUAGUUUUUGUACCUUUUGCAUAAUGGUUUAAUAAUAUUAUUUGAAUCAUCUUUUUUUUCUCGAAAUAAAAAGAUUUAUUUGUUUUAAUAUAUAUAUAUAUAUAUAUAUAUAUAUAUAUAUAUAUAUAUAGUAGUUAACGUAGUAUAGUUAUUAUUUUAGAAUUAGAUGGUAGUGAAAUGCUAUUCGUUUUUUAUGGUAGCUAGUUUAUUAAUUUUUUUCAUUUUAGUGUAAAUUAAAGUUAGUUAUGUUAAGUAAUUUUGUUUUAAUGAAAGUAUUGAGGGAUAAGCUUCUUAUAUGUUGUAAGAUUUUUUAGUUUAAUAUAUAAUUGAAGUUGAAUUAAUAAUUUUUCUUUUAAAUAUUUAAGAGUAUAUAAUUAUGGUGAAAUUCUUAAUUAAUGAGUUAAUAAAUGACUUUUAUUUAAUAAAAGUUAUAUAUAAUGUUAAAAUGAGUAUUAUAAAAUAUGUAUAUAUUUUGUUUUGAUAUUUGAUUUAAAUUUAAAGAUUGAAUGUGUAAAAUAUGUUGUGUAAUAAAUUGAAAUAAAGGAAUUCGGCAAAAGAUAAUUUCGCCUGUUUAUCAAAAACAUGUCUCUUUGAGUUUUUUUAAUAAAGAGUUUGGCCUGCUCGGUGAUUUUAUUUAACAGCUGCGGUAUUAUAACUGUACUAAGGUAGCAUAAUAAUUUGCCUUAUAAAUUGGGGCUAGAAUGAAUGGUUUGACGAGAAUUAAGCUGUCUCUAUUUCAUUUAUUAGAAAUUAAUUUUUAUAGUGAGAAAGCUUAAAUGGUUUAAAGGGACGAAAAGACCCUAUUGAGCUUAAUGUUAUUAUAUAAAUUUAUUUUGUUAGUUUAUAUUUAAAUUGAUGAUAAUUUUUAUUGUAGGUUUGUUAUUAACUUAACUUUGGUUGGGGUGAUCAAGGAAUAAAAUUAUUUAAUUUUAACUUCCUUAAAUGUCAAUUUUUAUAGAGUAAUAAACCAAAUUUUUUGCUUAGAAGAUAAGUUACCAUAGGGAUAACAGCGUAAUUUUUUUUGAGAGUUCAUAUUGAAAAAAGAGAUUGCGACCUCGAUGUUGGAUUAAAAUUAACCUUAAGGUGUAGAGGCUUUAUUAGGUGAAUCUGUUCGAUUUUUAAAAUUUUACAUGAUCUGAGUUCAAACCGGUGAAAACCAGGUUGGUUUUUAUCUUUUAAAUUUUUUUUAUUUAAUUUAGUACGAAAGGAUUGAUUAUAAUUAAUUUUUUUUAUAAUUAAGU
rnacentral:rRNA from 1 species